GAAGGUCCCGUUGACAGGGCUGUAUCCGUUGCAAUGCACGUCCUCGGUCACAAUUGGACGGCUACCGCUGACGAGGCACGCGAAAGCGUCUUUGACCCCCGAGGAUACACGGAACUUCAAACUCCACUUCGUGGAAUCCUCGCCCUUUAGGGCGGAGAGGAUGUCAACUAUCACGAC
rnacentral:misc_RNA from 1 species